rnacentral:rRNA from 1 species
AUGGGGUACCUUUCAAGUGUACCAAAAAGUUCUUUGUUAGUAAGGAAUCAAAUGCUGGAUAAUUCAUUUCUAAUAGAUACUCGAAUGAAAAAAUUCGAUACCAUAGUCCCCGCCACUCUCCUCAUAGGAUACUUAUCAAAAGCUCAAUUUUGUACUGGAUCAGGGCAUCCUAUUAAUAAACCCAUUUGGACAUAUUUAUUAGAUUGGGAUAUUCUUGAUCGAUUUGGUCGGAUAUGUAGAAAUCUUUUUCAUUAUCAUAGUGAAUCUUCGAAAAAACGGACUUUGUAUCGACUAAAGUAUAUACUUCGACUUUCAUGCGCUAGAACUUUAGCUCGUAAACAUAAAAGCACGGUACGAACAUUUAUGCAAAGAUUGGGUUCGGCAUUUUUAGAAGAAUUUUUUAUGGAAGAAGAGCAAGUUUUUCUGUGA